AUGCAGACAAGGGCUGAGCCGUCUGGCAUCAUGGAGGGGCUGGUUCUAGGCCUCUGGGCUUUGCUGGUGUCUGUGGAGUUUGGUGGAGGCUCAGCAAAGCCAGGUAAGGGGCGAGCUGGGCGAGACCGCGCCUCUAGUGGGCUGCAGGGCGCUCCGGCGGGGCGCUGGGGCUCUUUGCGCCGCAUUUCUUACACGCGCCUUCAGAGGCGCACCUCGCGCCCGGGUCAGGUGCGCAGCCAGCUCCACCCAGGCCUGUGGCUGCCCCACAGGUCUGAACCUGAGCUGCUACCAGUGCUUCAAAGUCUCCAGCCCGGCGUCGUGCGAGCCCGCCGUGUGCAACUCCACAGACCAGGUCUGCGUCUCCAACGAGGUGUUCGUCAACCUUGGUGAGUCCCUGGGCGCCCAGGGAAGGGGCUGGUGCCGCAGCCUCUGGGGCCCGGCCUGGACCCUUGGGCUCUUCGCAGGGCCGGGCCGGGGCCGGGGCGCCCUGAGACCCAUCGCUCUGACAGCACCUCGUGCUCUCUCCUCUCACUGGACCCCAGGCGGAAUGGCCGCGGACUCUGAAUUUGGGCUGCUCCUUCUCCUCCUGUUGAGGUCUGGUUCUUAAGUGUCACGCCUCUAGGGACAGCCAGCAGGGCAGCAGCUCUGGUGUCACUGAACUUACAGGGAGGGCAGGACAGCCAGAGAGGUGGCAGUGGAGAGGAGGGUCAGCCAAGCAGGCUGCACCUGGGCCACCUGGUGUCCCAUGGCUGCCCACCUGGCCCCAUGUCCACGUGGCUGACUGUGGGGCUGAAGAGAUAAGACUUCACUUAAAAACAAGCCUUAGAGAAGAUCAUAAAGUAAAACCUGAACACAUUCCCCAGCCGCACUGAAAUGUCACCCAGCAAACCUCCAGCGAUGCUGUGAAAUGAUACAGAUGUCUAGAGAGAGCCGGAGCUGGAGAGACCCAUCUGUUCUCCCGAGAAGUCGCGAUCACAGUUGACAGAUGACGAGCCUGGGUCCCACUUCUCUGCACCUUGUUGUGGAUGGCUGCUGGGUGGAGGGAGGGGUGAAAGAGGGGGUGUGUGCAGGGGCCGGAGAGGGGAGGUCCUGGAGUGCUAGGGCCAGGGGCUUGGGCAACCACGGGCACUUGGAGAGCAGGGUGGAAAUCCCUGGGGAAGUUAGUGCUCUGAUCGCAACUCGGGUGGUGACACACGUUUGGAA
rnacentral:lncRNA from 1 species